UCUUUAGUCGAGUUCAUUGUAAAAGAAACCGAAAGGCUCCAUCCUCAGGUGCGCUUUCAAGAGAGAAAAAAGGGAAACACUCUAACAAAAUCAUGAUUUCAUAAAUUUUAAGUUCUCCUCUCUUAAAUUAUGUGGGGCGAUGUAAAAGUCCAGAUGCGAACCCCUUCUUUUGAGAAACUUUACCUGACCCAAUGCUGCCUCCUUUGCAGUAACCAAUGGUGAGAAAUAUUCUCUCUUCAUACAUUGUGACAGGCCUACUUCAAGCUCGUGAAUUAUGCUGAGCAUUCUACAAUCUCAGAGUGAACACAUUUCUAUGAUUAUGCUUGCUUUGAUUUGAUAAGUUUGGCCAUCAUCAACAAAUUUAUUCUGAACUCAACAUAGCCUCAAAACCCCAUCUCUCUGGAUAGCUACAAUAUUUGGCAUUAUGGGCACCGAAUCUAAUUGCUUUGUGAUUCGUGUUCUCCGGAAGCAUGUUUGUUGUUGGAUACAAAUUCAACCAAAUGCGGCGCCGCGUUCCCUGUGGUUUCGACAUCAUUUUUUAAUAAACUAGAAUUGGGAUAGGCUGUUAAAACUUACAAGCAUUGAGAGGCAAGGCAUUUCGAAUAAAAUGACGAGAACAAUUUAAUCUUGCUGCCAAAGGAACCAUUUUGCACUCUGUACUAAUUUCUGCGUAGUCAAUUGAGUUCAAAUAGUAGGUUUGUUCAGUAUUUGCUGGUUACUAAACAUGGUAAUGUAAUAAAUUUUUUUAUCAUGUACCUUGCAUUAUGCUCUGCUAAAAUGUGAAUUAUGGUUUGGGAUUCUGACAUGAUUAAUAAACUUGCACCAUACUGAUGCUUGCUCAGCAACUCAUCUCUUUCUCACAACUUUCUUUUAGCAGGUAAGGUCUUGAUCUACAAUGUGUGUUUUCCGUGACACAAUUACCAAACACUGCAUAUCUCAAGUGACACUUGCUCAUGCCUUCUACUUCAACAGUUGAAUAAAUGAGCUGUGAUUCUUUCUAAAAUAGUCGAGUUUUGUGCUGAGUGUCUUCUCUGCUGACGGAUUUGGUCUCUUUACUGAUGUGAUAUGAGGUUCUGCAUCCUUGUGCUGGUUCAACCAAUAUAAACAAAAAGGUUUGGAAGUUGGAACAUGUACUUCAGGGAUCAUCUUCCAGGGCUGGUGAAAGCUAGGGCUGGUGGCGACUGUGGUUCUUCCAUGGUUUGUGACAUGGUUUGCUUGCAGGCUCUGUCACAGAGAAUCCACUAAGGAAAAUUUGUUGCAGGGGUUACGGUUUGGGAAUCCCCCUUUGAUUACGAGGCCGCUAUCAAAGUGCAGAUUAAACUGCUUCGAUACUUGUCUCCUUAUUUUUUUUUCAUUUAGUCACAUUGUCAUCCUUUCCUGUCAUCCUUUGGGCCGUGGUUCUUGCAGGAUCGAGCUCAACUCAUGGCGUUGCUCACAUAUGAAGCCGUGGAAGCAGCUGUUAAGAACCGAGUAGAGAUGAAAACAAGAAGUUAUGGUCAAGAGGUAGGGGUCACCCAGCAGGAUGACGGAACUGAUUCCCUACACAAAGUGGAGCCAACUUUAGUUGCUAAUCUGUACAAAAACUGGACCAUGCCUCUGACAAAAGAAGUUCAGCAAACACUGUCACCGACGAAGCAGCCCGCCUGGUGAUCCACGAAGAUGGGGCUGUUGACACAAGAGGCAGCUGCAUUGCUAUAGUUGUCAUUGUCGACUAAUGAGCUGGAAAAAUCGUGGUUUCAGGCCCACCAUGUUCCAUUGCAUCUUUAAUUAUCUGGUAUAGACAAAUGCGGGGACAUGAAGCAACCCAAAGAGAGAAAAAUUGAAAGACUUUUCAUCAGUAUUAGCUCCGGGGGAUCUAUCCUUUCUAGUAGGCAGUCGCUUUCAGAG